UCAAGUGACCAAGCGUGCACGGUGGAUGCCUUGGCAGUCAGAGGCGAUGAAGGACGUGGUAAUCUGCGAAAAGCUCGGGGGAGUUGAUAAACAAGCGUUAAUCCCGAGAUGUCCGAAUGGGGAAACCCACCCGCUUGCGGGUAUCGUAUGGUGAAUACAUAGCCAUACGAGGCGAACCCGGGGAACUGAAACAUCUAAGUACCCGGAGGAAAAGAAAUCAACCGAGAUUCCCUAAGUAGCGGCGAGCGAACGGGGAUUAGCCCUUAAGCACUUUACGUUUUAGCAGAAGGUUCUGGAAAGUACCGCCAUAGUGGGUGAUAGCCCCGUAUGCGAAAAAGCGAAUUGUGUGAAAACGAGUAGGACGGGGCACGAGAAACCUUGUCUGAAUAUGGGGGGACCAUCCUCCAAGGCUAAAUACUCCUGACUGACCGAUAGUGAACCAGUACCGUGAGGGAAAGGCGAAAAGAACCCCUGUGAGGGGAGUGAAAUAGAUCCUGAAACCGUGUACGUACAAGCAGUGGGAGCGGACUUGUUCCGUGACUGCGUACCUUUUGUAUAAUGGGUCAACGACUUAUUUUCAGUAGCAAGGUUAAUCAUAUAGAGGAGCCGUAGGGAAACCGAGUCUUAAUAGGGCGUAUAGUUGCUGGGAAUAGACCCGAAACCGGGCGAUCUAUCCAUGGGCAGGUUGAAGGUUGGGUAACACUAACUGGAGGACCGAACCCACGUAUGUUGAAAAAUGCGGGGAUGACUUGUGGAUAGGAGUGAAAGGCUAAUCAAGCUCGGAGAUAGCUGGUUCUCCUCGAAAGCUAUUUAGGUAGCGCCUCGUAUCUCACCAUUGGGGGUAGAGCACUGUUUGGGCUAGGGGGUCAUCCCGACUUACCAACCCCAUGCAAACUCCGAAUACCAAUGAGUGCAAUUACGGGAGACACACGGCGGGUGCUAACGUCCGUCGUGGAAAGGGAAACAACCCAGACCGUCAGCUAAGGUCCCAAAGUUACAGUUAAGUGGGAAACGAUGUGGGAAGGCUUAGACAGCUAGGAGGUUGGCUUAGAAGCAGCCAUCCUUUAAAGAAAGCGUAAUAGCUCACUAGUCGAGUCGGCCUGCGCGGAAGAUAUAACGGGGCUAAACUGUACACCGAAGCUACGGAUGCUUAGAUUUAUCUAGGCAUGGUAGAGGAGCGUUCUGUAAGCCGUUGAAGGUCAAGCUGUAAGGCAGGCUGGAGGUAUCAGAAGUGCGAAUGUUGACAUGAGUAACGAUAAGGGGAGUGAAAAACUCCCCCGCCGGAAGACCAAGGUUUCCUGUCCCAUGUUAAUCAGGGCAGGGUGAGUCGGCCCCUAAGGCGAGGCAGAAAUGCGUAGUCGAUGGGAAACAGGUUAAUAUUCCUGUACUUGCAUAUAUUGCGAUGGAGAGACGGAGAAGGCUAGGCCAGCACAGCGAUGGUUGUCUGUGUUUAAGGCGGUAGGCUGGUGACUUAGGUAAAUCCGGGUUGCCUUUAAGGCCGAGAACUGAUGACGAGCCCUCUUUUGGGUGAAGUGGUUGAUGCCAUGCUUCCAGGAAAAACUUCUAAGCUUCAGAUAUAUGGGAACCGUACCCCAAACCGACACAGGUGGUCAGGUAGAGAAUACCAAGGCGCUUGAGAGAACUCUGGUGAAGGAACUAGGCAAAAUGGUACCGUAACUUCGGGAGAAGGUACGCCGAUUUUGGUGAUGGGAUUUACUCCUUAAGCUGAGAUUGGUCGAAGAUACCAGGUGGCUGCGACUGUUUAUUAAAAACACAGCACUCUGCAAACACGAAAGUGGACGUAUAGGGUGUGACGCCUGCCCGGUGCUUGAAGGUUAAUUGAUGGGGUUAGCUUCGGCGAAGCUCUUGAUCGAAGCCCAAGUAAACGGCGGCCGUAACUAUAACGGUCCUAAGGUAGCGAAAUUCCUUGUCGGGUAAGUUCCGACCUGCACGAAUGGCGUAACGAUGGCCACACUGUCUCCACCAGAGACUCAGUGAAAUUGAAAUCGCAGUGAAGAUGCUGUGUAUCCGCGGCUAGACGGAAAGACCCCGUGAACCUUUACUAUAGCUUCACAGUGAACUUUGAACCUACUUGUGUAGGAUAGGUGGGAGGCUUUGAAACCAAGACGCUAGUUUUGGUGGAGCCACUCUUGAAAUACCACCCUGGUAUGUUUGAGGUUCUAACUCAGGUCCCUAAUCGGGAUCGAGGACACUGUGUGGUGGGUAGUUUGACUGGGGCGGUCUCCUCCCAAAGAGUAACGGAGGAGCACGAAGGUGUGCUCAGCAUGGUCGGAAAUCAUGCGAAGAGUGUAAAGGCAAAAGCGCGCUUAACUGCGAGACAGACACGUCGAGCAGGUACGAAAGUAGGUCUUAGUGAUCCGGUGGUUCUGUAUGGAAGGGCCAUCGCUCAACGGAUAAAAGGUACUCCGGGGAUAACAGGCUGAUACCG
rnacentral:rRNA from 1 species